CAUUGUUUAAAGAUGGUCAAGAUGAAGAGGCAUUGUCUAAGUAUGAUAUUGCUUUACCAGCUGUGUCCAGUAUAUCCAAAUCUGUUGAAUUACGAAAAAAAAUAUGAUGAUGGUAUUAAAGAAUGCACAAAAGCAUUGGAGCUAAACCUUAACUACAUAAGUGUUUUGCUAAGAAGAGCAGAGGUGUAUGAAAAGUUGUAACAAUUUGAAGAGACUAUAGCAGAUAUGACAAAGGUUUUGGAAGUUGACCCAUCAUAUGAUCAAGCUAGAAGACAGAUUGUUCGCUUGAAGCCAUUAGCAGAUGAAAAACGUCAAAAGAUGAAGGAAGAAAUGAUUGUUGACCAUUGGUGGUAUGAACUUCUUUGGGUAGUUGCUGUUAAAUGAUUCUUUUUUGCUCUUCACGUGUAAAUAUAGGAAUGCUUCAUUUUUGCAAAAGAAAAUGUGUUCUAGGGGAGAAGAGUGGAGGAGGAGGAGAGGAUCUGGAAUUUUUGCAAAAGUAAAAGGAGCUAGUGUGAGCUGAGGUGGCUAGUGCAUUCGGAAGAUUCUGGAGGAAGGGGAAGGUUAAUGUGAGCAGAUAAAGCUUUGCUUCAGGUGCUGCUAAAGAAUAGAUGCUUGUGGAAGUGGACAAACGAUUACUGAG